CCCUUAGAUGUCCGGGGCCGCACGCGCGCUACACUGAAGGAAUCAGCGUGGCUUUCUCCCUGACCCGAAAGGGUUGGGAAACCCGUUGAAUCUCCUUCGUGAUAGGGAUUGGGGCUUGAAAUUGUUCCCCAUGAACGAGGAAUUCCCAGUAAGCGCGGGUCAUAAGCUCGCGUUGAUUACGUCCCUACCCUUUGUACACACCGCCCGUCGCUACUACCGAUUGAACGGUUUAGUGAGGGCCUCGGAUUGGUCUCGGCCCGCUCUUUACCGGGCGGCGCCGUUGGUCGAGAAGACGCUCGAACUUGAUCGUUUAGAGGAAGUAAAAGUCGUAACA
rnacentral:rRNA from 1 species